AGGGAAAUCACUUAUUAAUCAAGCAUGUAAAGAUAUGUGGCAGAUAUCUUGGGACUCAUGUAUGAAGGGAAGACAUUUUUAUAACAUACAAGGUAAAUUAAAGCAAAGCAAUAUAAAUCAUAAUAUAAGUAGGAGGGAAUAUAUAAUAUUUACAAGAUUAAGAAUGGGACAUACUAGCCUCAAUGCAAAUAAUUACAUCAUAGGUAAACACGAUACAGGUCUUUGUGAUGGGUGUCAGGAAAGGGAGACAGUGGAACAUGUUUUAAUGACAUGUGUGAAAUACCAGCAGGAAAGAAUAUUGUAUAUUAGAGAAGUUCAAGAAAUGGGGAUUACAGAAUUUACAAUGGGCAAUAUUUUAAAUGAAGGGACAUAUACGGGUAGGCUAAUAAGGGCAGUAAUGAGGUUUUUAAAAAACAUUGCGGUAAUUCAUAGAAUUUAAUCUGAGUCAUGCAGACUAUCCUUGUCACACUCCAGUACAGUAGGUGGCGGUAUGCACCUUUUCAGUUGGUUUGCAACCCGCCAGUAAACCCACGAAAGAAGAAGAUUACCAUGAGGUGGGACUGACGAAGCUCCUUUUUCACAGGUUUCUUUACUGUUUUCAGAUUUUCCAUGCGGAUAUCCGUGCAGCAGAGUCGAAGCAGACCUGUCAGAAAACAUCUCUAAGGUGCUAUGAAUCUCAUAACUAGAUACACAUCAUAAGAUAACUAGAGCUUACGGCUCUGUUUGGAUCCACCCUCACUUGUGAAGACUUCAGAUGACGUAAACACUCACAAAGACAUUAUAUGAUGGCAUCUACAGAUGGACAUACACAACUGCCAAAUGUAACAUAUUGUAAUUACUGCACCAAAGCGCAACCCUACAGAUUUUCAACCCACUUAAUAUUGUUACAAACACAAUAUAUGUUUAUAUUUGAAAAAAAUAUUCUUUAGCUAAUUUUACUGAUUUAUUUCCAUUUAUUUGUCCACAAUACUCUGCCAAAAUUAUGUUUUGCAUCAUCCAAAUAUUGUUAAUGUACAUAUUACAGACAUUGUAACAACACAAAGUGGGUUGAAAAAGUUUCUUCUUCUAAGUGCAGUAACUACGCAAACACUAAAAUCGAGAAAAAAGUUCUUAAAGUGUUUUACACCAGCCAGUCAAACUUGUUACUGCAAUUUUGGCAAACACAUUUCUCUGAUGGGACAAAAUUAAACCAGGAGACUUUGUCACAAGACAACAGAUCUCACAAAGCCCAUUUCAACCUUUACCUCAAUUAGGACCAAAUGCAUAGUUACUGCGCUUUGGCUUUGUUGGGCAGUAUAGUAGUAUUAUAGUAAUGCUGGAGUGAAAGCAUGGUAACCAUAUAUUUUUAAAUCAUGGUAAAGUUUGUGGUUACUAAAAUGUAGUACUAUAAACCUAUGCUGUUGUAAGAGAAUGUUUAUUCUUUAUUAUUGUUGUGAAACCAUGGUUGAUUUUAUAUUUACCAUGUGUUACUGCAAAUGAUGGUAAAAUCAUGGAUAACUUUGCAUGGGUACAGAAAGGUGUAAACUGGUUGUUUUUAUUUGGAAGUCAUAUUGGUUUUAAUGCAUCUGAUAAAUGUAUAUGCAUUUGAAUAUUUAUUCUGUUUACUGACAAUAAUAAAUUUGCAGUUGCUGAUGUAAA